CCACAAUAAUCUCAAAGGUGAUAUUCCAAUGGAAUUGGGGCAAUUGAAUUCACUUGAAGCCUUAGAUCUCUCUUGGAAUCGGCUCACUGGAAAGAUUCCACAGGAAUUGACAAGAAUGAACUUUCUGGCGUUCUUAAACCUCUCUCAAAACCAGCUCGUUGGACGCAUUCCUCAAGGUUCACAAUUCAGCACAUUUGAAAAUGACUCGUAUGGUGGCAACCUUGAUUUAUGUGGUCCUCCUUUGUCAAAGCAAUGUGGAACGAGUGAUCGCUCACAUGUUCCUCAAUCACUGGAGGAUGAAGCAGAAGAAGAUGAGUCAUAUUUCUUCAGUGGAUUUACGUGGGAAUCAGUAGUCAUAGGCUACAGUUUUGGACUAGUUGUUGGAACUGUCAUGUGGAGUCUCAUGUUUAAAUAUCGUAAGCCAAAAUGGUUUGUGGAAUUUUUUGAAGGCAUUUAUCCCAAGAAAAUGAGAAAUAGGCUACAGUUUUGGACUAGUUGUUGGAACUGUCAUGUGGAGCCUCAUGUUUAAUUAUCGUAAGCCAAAAUGGUUUGUCGAAUUUUUUGACGGCAUCAUGCCCCACAAAAGGAGAAGGCCAAAGAAGAGAAGGCUGAGACGGCAGACAUAAUGGAAGAUUGAAAGAUUGAACUUUUCUGUUUCUGUUUUUUCUGUUUGUUGUUUGUAUAUUCUUCAUACAAACUUAACUGUAUGUGUUUUUUUUUAAAUUAAUGUAUCUUUUUCGGAGACUUGUUUGUGGUGGAAGGAUCUAAGCAUUGUUAGUAAAUUUCCCAAAACUUAGUUCGAAAUUGAAGUUGAUCCAUUCAAAACACACGAUCUCUUAUUUAGAAAAAAAGAAAAAUUGUAUGGUUCUUUUGAGUAACUGUUAUGCAGAUUGAUUCCACUAUUUUCGUGGCUUGGUUAAUAUUGUUACAAUGAACGAACUCAUAGAUGCUACUAUAGCAGAAAUGCCAUCUGGAUGCUAAACAUUGCACCUCGAUUAUUUCACCGGUACCUGCUGUGGGACACUAGGUAGGACACGUGUGUCUAUUUGUUCAGCUUUAUAAAAAUGUAAGUGUCUACUUGUGUAUAAUCAAAGUUGAAGGACAUAAAUAUAUUACGUUUGUAUAUUAUGCCAUAAACAUAAAUUGCACGUCAAAUAAGAAGAAUAAAAAAACAUUGUAUUAUUGGGAAAAAAGUUGAGAAUUUAGGCCAUGGAUAAGAUCUUUGACCAAAAAGACAAAAUACCAAAAAAAAAAUGUAAAAGUAAAGUGACAUUUUAUGAAAGGAAAAAGCAUAUGAAAGUCUUUGUUAUAUAUUUUUUUGGUGAAAAGUAAAAGGACAUUUAGGUCUUCCACUUUGAUGUUCUUUUUUUUAUAUAUAUGAAUAUGAAUAUGAUGAUUGAUUUGCAAGAAGAGAACAUCCUGCUAUUUGUUGAAUACAAACAAACAAAUGGGAUGUUUCCUUUUCUUUUCUUCAUUUCUCUGUUUUGUGUUGCUAAUAAGUGGAUGUUUUUCUUCAUCCAUUGAUCAUCAUCUUUGCUCUCCCACUGAAGCUUCUGCUUUGCUUCAGUUUAAGCAACCCUUUGAGAUUACAUCCGAGUACUCUUGUCAUUUCCGAGGACAAGCUUCUUUCCCGAAAACAAAGUCUUGGAAUGAGAGUAGGGAUUGUUGUACUUGGGACGGAGUCACUUGUGACAUGUUAAACGGUCAUGUUAUUGGGUUGGACCUUAGUUGCAGUCUGCUAAAAGGAACUAUUCAUCCGAAAAGCAGCCUCUUCCAACUUCUUUAUCUUCAAACACUAAACCUUGCUUACAAUAACUUUUCAACUUCUUCAAUCCCACAUAACAUUGGCCGAUUGACAAAUUUGAGGAAUCUCAACCUUUCUUAUUCUUACUUUGAUGGGAAAAUCCCAACAGAAAUCUCAUUGCUUUCCAAUUUAGUUUCACUUGAUCUUUCUCCUCCUUAUAAGUAUGGAUUACAACUUGAUCAGAGAACAUUUGAGGCAAUGCUUCACAACUUGACAAAUCUGGAGGUACUAUCUCUCUCUUUUGUCAACAUCUCAUCUCCGAUACCUGUGAAUAUUUCUUCCUCCUUAAGGUACAUGGAUCUUGAAUAUACUAAUCUGCGAGGUGUUCUCACAGAGAACUUUUUUCUUAUGCCAAACUUGGAAAGGCUUAAAUUGGGUUUCAAUGCUCUUCUCAAAGGAGUUUUACCAAAGAUCCACCCGAGCAGUACUCUGUUGGAGUUGGAUAUUUCAUACACAGGAAUCUCCGGUGAGCUGCCUGAUUCAAUUGGCACCUUGAGUUCUUUGAAUAUCUUGUACUUCCGUGGAUGUGAAUUUUCUGGUCACAUUCCUGAUUCCAUUGGCAAUCUUACACAAAUUCGGGAGUUGAUUUUAUCUGAUAAUCGUUUCACUGGCCACAUUCCUUCCACAAUCUCUAAAUUGAAGCACCUCACACAUUUAGUUCUUGAGUCCAAUUCCUUUUCAGGUGAAAUUCCAGAUGUUUUCUCUAACCUCCAAGAGCUACGUUAUUUACAUCUUUAUAGUAACAGCUUCAUUGGUUCGUUUCCUUCUACAAUUUUAAACUUGAUACAUCUUCAAUACUUAGACUUGUCGAGUAAUUCCCUAUCUGGCUCACUGCCCAGCAAUGCAAGCAUGUUUCCAAAGCUAACCGAGCUGGAUUUGUCAUACAACUCACUGAAUGGUACCAUACCAUCUUGGGUGCUUAGCCUCCCUUUGCUAACAUCACUGUCGCUCCAAAAUAAUCAAUUUAGUGGACUAGCCGAUGAGCUCAAAAAUAACCCAACAUUAGAAUACCUGUUUUUAAGCAAUAAUCAACUCAGUAGUUCUUUUCCUCAAUCUCUUGCGAAUCUCACAAACCUUUUUACCCUUGACAUUUCAUCAAAUAACAUCACGGGUGAUGCGGGAAUAAAUAUCACCUUUCCUAGCCUAGAAAAAGUGUUCUUAUCAUCUUGUGAAUUGAGGGAUUUUCCACACUUCUUGAGAAAUGUAAACACACUUCAGGUCUUGGAUAUUUCUAACAAUAAGAUUCGUGGUCAAAUCCCUAACUGGUUUAGCAGCAUGAGGUGGAACUCGUUGCAGUUCUUAAACCUUUCUCAUAAUUCAUUAACAGGCCAUCUACCACAAUUUCAUUAUUAUAGUCUAAAGUAUCUUGAUCUUAAAUUUAACUUCCUUCGGGGGUCACUACCUUUAUCCAUUUGUAACAUGAAUAGCCUUAGCCUUCUGGAUUUAUCACACAACAACUUCAGUGGCUCUGUUCCACAUUGCUUCGGCAGCAUGGUUGAGCUAUCUGUGUUAGACUUUAGAAGAAAUAACUUCACAGGGAGUCUUCCACCAUUUUGUGCACAGACCGAUUCAUUGAAAACCAUCGUCUUGAAUGGUAAUCUAUUGAAAGGACCUGUCCCUGUGUCGUUGCUCAACUGUGUUGGUUUAGAAGUUCUUGAUUUGGGGAAUAACGCUAUAAAUGACAUAUUUCCAGCUUGGCUAGGAACACUUCAAGAACUGCAGGUCCUAAUAUUAAAGUUCAAUCUGUUCCAUGGACCUAUAAGUACUUGUCAGACUGAGUUUUGCUAUCCCAAAUUGCGAAUUUUUGAUCUUUCUCGUAAUGAAUUCAGUGGAUCACUUCCUGCAAAAGCUUUUGGAAACUUCAAGGCAAUGAUCAAAUUAGAUGGUGAAGAUACAAGAGAGAUCAAGUACAUGGAACCAUAUGAGAAUUUCUCUUACACAUCGUAUGAGAAUUCAGUGAGGUUGGUAAUCAAAGGGCACGAUACUGAGCUAGAAAGAAUCAGCACAAUUAUGACAACCAUAGAUCUCUCAAGCAACCAUUUUGAAGGUGUCAUUCCGAAAACACUAAAGGAUCUCAGCUCACUUUGGCUACUCAAUUUAUCCCAUAACAAUCUCAUAGGUCAUAUUCCAAUGGAAUUGGGGCAAUUGAAUAUGCUUGAAGCAUUAGAUCUCUCCUGGAAUCGGCUCACUGGAAAGAUACCACAGGGAUUGACAAGAAUGAACUUUUUAACAGUCUUAAACCUCUCUCAAAAUCAUCUCGUUGGACCAAUUCCUCACGGUCCACAAUUCAACACAUUUGAAAAUGGUUCGUAUGGUGGCAACCUUGAUUUAUGUGGUCCUCCUCUAUCAAAGCAAUGCGGAACGAGUGAUUCAUCACAUGUUCCUCAACCAUUGGAGUCCGAAGAAGAUGAAGACGAGUCAUAUUUUUUUAGUGGAUUUACGUGGGAAUCAGUAGUCUUAGGCUAC
rnacentral:lncRNA from 1 species